GAUAAACGCUGGCGGCGUGCCUAAUACAUGCAAGUCGAGCGAACGGACGAGAAGCUUGCUUCUCUGAUGUUAGCGGCGGACGGGUGAGUAACACGUGGAUAACCUACCUAUAAGACUGGGAUAACUUCGGGAAACCGGAGCUAAUACCGGAUAAUAUUUUGAACCGCAUGGUUCAAAAGUGAAAGACGGUCUUGCUGUCACUUAUAGAUGGAUCCGCGCUGCAUUAGCUAGUUGGUAAGGUAACGGCUUACCAAGGCAACGAUGCAUAGCCGACCUGAGAGGGUGAUCGGCCACACUGGAACUGAGACACGGUCCAGACUCCUACGGGAGGCAGCAGUAGGGAAUCUUCCGCAAUGGGCGAAAGCCUGACGGAGCAACGCCGCGUGAGUGAUGAAGGUCUUCGGAUCGUAAAACUCUGUUAUUAGGGAAGAACAUAUGUGUAAGUAACUGUGCACAUCUUGACGGUACCUAAUCAGAAAGCCACGGCUAACUACGUGCCAGCAGCCGCGGUAAUACGUAGGUGGCAAGCGUUAUCCGGAAUUAUUGGGCGUAAAGCGCGCGUAGGCGGUUUUUUAAGUCUGAUGUGAAAGCCCACGGCUCAACCGUGGAGGGUCAUUGGAAACUGGAAAACUUGAGUGCAGAAGAGGAAAGUGGAAUUCCAUGUGUAGCGGUGAAAUGCGCAGAGAUAUGGAGGAACACCAGUGGCGAAGGCGACUUUCUGGUCUGUAACUGACGCUGAUGUACGAAAGCGUGGGGAUCAAACAGGAUUAGAUACCCUGGUAGUCCACGCCGUAAACGAUGAGUGCUAAGUGUUAGGGGGUUUCCGCCCCUUAGUGCUGCAGCUAACGCAUUAAGCACUCCGCCUGGGGAGUACGACCGCAAGGUUGAAACUCAAAGGAAUUGACGGGGACCCGCACAAGCGGUGGAGCAUGUGGUUUAAUUCGAAGCAACGCGAAGAACCUUACCAAAUCUUGACAUCCUUUGACAACUCUAGAGAUAGAGCCUUCCCCUUCGGGGGACAAAGUGACAGGUGGUGCAUGGUUGUCGUCAGCUCGUGUCGUGAGAUGUUGGGUUAAGUCCCGCAACGAGCGCAACCCUUAAGCUUAGUUGCCAUCAUUAAGUUGGGCACUCUAAGUUGACUGCCGGUGACAAACCGGAGGAAGGUGGGGAUGACGUCAAAUCAUCAUGCCCCUUAUGAUUUGGGCUACACACGUGCUACAAUGGACAAUACAAAGGGCAGCGAAACCGCGAGGUCAAGCAAAUCCCAUAAAGUUGUUCUCAGUUCGGAUUGUAGUCUGCAACUCGACUACAUGAAGCUGGAAUCGCUAGUAAUCGUAGAUCAGCAUGCUACGGUGAAUACGUUCCCGGGUCU
rnacentral:rRNA from 1 species